AUUGAACGCUGGCGGCAGGCCUAACACAUGCAAGUCGAGCGGUUGACGGGAGCUUGCUCCCUGAUUCAGCGGCGGACGGGUGAGUAAUGCCUAGGAAUCUGCCUAUUAGUGGGGGACAACGUUUCGAAAGGAACGCUAAUACCGCAUACGUCCUACGGGAGAACGCAGGGGACCUUCGGGCCUUGCGCUAAUAGAUGAGCCUAGGUCGGAUUAGCUUGUUGGUAAGGUAAGGGCUCACCAAGGCGACGAUCCGUAACUGGUCUGAGAGGAUGAUCAGUCACACUGGAACUGAGACACGGUCCAGACUCCUACGGGAGGCAGCAGUGGGGAAUAUUGGACAAUGGGCGAAAGCCUGAUCCAGCCAUGCCGCGUGUGUGAAGAAGGUCUUCGGAUUGUAAAGCACUUUAAGUUGGGAGGAAGGGUUGUAGAUUAAUACUCUGCAAUUUUGACGUUACCGACAGAAUAAGCACCGGCUAACUCUGUGCCAGCAGCCGCAGUAAAAC
rnacentral:rRNA from 1 species